rnacentral:rRNA from 1 species
UACGUAGGGUGCGAGCGUUGUCCGGAAUUACUGGGCGUAAAGAGCUCGUAGGUGGUUUGUCGCGUUGUUCGUGAAAACUCACAGCUCAACUGUGGGCGUGCGGGCGAUACGGGCAGACUUGAGUACUGCAGGGGAGACUGGAAUUCCUGGUGUAGCGGUGGAAUGCGCAGAUAUCAGGGGGAACACCGGUGGCGAAGGCGGGUCUCUGGGCAGUAACUGACGCUGAGGAGCGAAAGCGUGGGGAGCGAACAGG